GACGAACGCUGGCGGCGUGCUUAACACAUGCAAGUCGAACGGUAAGGCCCUUCGGGGUACACGAGUGGCGAACGGGUGAGUAACACGUGGGUGAUCUGCCCUGCACUUCGGGAUAAGCCUGGGAAACUGGGUCUAAUACCGGAUAGGACCCUGGGAUGCAUGUCCUGGGGUGGAAAGCUUUUGCGGUGUGGGAUGGGCCCGCGGCCUAUCAGCUUGUUGGUGGGGUGAUGGCCUACCAAGGCGACGACGGGUAGCCGGCCUGAGAGGGUGACCGGCAACACUGGGACUGAGAUACGGCGCAGACUCCUACGGGAGGCAGCAGUGGGGAAUAUUGCACAAUGGGCGCAAGCCUGAUGCAGCGACGCCGCGUGAGGGAUGACGGCCUUCGGGUUGUAAACCUCUUUCAGCACCGACGAAGCGCAAGUGACGGUAGGUGCAGAAGAAGGACCGGCCAACUACGUGCCAGCCGCCGCAGUAA
rnacentral:rRNA from 1 species